UCCAGACUCCUACGGGAGGCAGCAGUGGGGAAUAUUGCACAAUGGGGGAAACCCUGAUGCAGCGACGCCGCGUGAGUGAAGAAGUAUUUCGGUAUGUAAAGCUCUAUCAGCAGGGAAGAAAAUGACGGUACCUGACUAAGAAGCCCCGGCUAACUACGUGCCAGCAGCCGCGGUAAUACGUAGGGGGCAAGCGUUAUCCGGAUUUACUGGGUGUAAAGGGAGCGUAGACGGCGCGGCAAGUCUGAAGUGAAAGGCAGGGGCUUAACCCCUGAACUGCUUUGGAAACUGCCAUGCUAGAGUGCUGGAGAGGUAAGUGGAAUUCCUAGUGUAGCGGUGAAAUGCGUAGAUAUUAGGAGGAACACCAGUGGCGAAGGCGGCUUACUGGACAGUAACUGACGUUGAGGCUCGAAAGCGUGGGGAGCAAACAGGAUUAGAUACCCUUGUAA
rnacentral:rRNA from 1 species